rnacentral:rRNA from 1 species
UACAUGGGGUGCAAACGUUGCUCGGAAUUAUUGGGCGUAAAGCGCACGUAGGCGGUUUGUUAAGUCGGAUGUGAAAUCCCUCGGCUCAACUGAGGAAGUGCCCCCGAAACUGGCAGGCUUGAGUACUAAAGAGGGUCGCGGAAUUCCCGGUGUAGAGGUGAAAUUCGUAGAUAUCGGGAGGAACACCGGUGGCGAAGGCGGCGACCUGGGUAGAUACUGACGCUGAGGUGCGAAAGCGUGGGGAGCAAACAGG